rnacentral:rRNA from 1 species
CACGUAGGGGGCGAGCGUUGUCCGGAAUUACUGGGCGUAAAGGGCGCGCAGGCUGUUAUGCGAGUCUGCUGUGAAAUGUACCGGCUCAACCGGUGCCUUGCGGCGGAUACUGCAUAGCUGGAGUACUGGAGAGGGAAGUGGAAUUCCCGGUGUAGCGGUGGAAUGCGCAGAGAUCAGGAGGAAUACCGAAGGCGAAGGCAGUCUUCCAAGCCGUUAUUGACGCUCAACUGCGAAGGUGUGGGUAUCAAACAGGAUUAGA